rnacentral:snRNA from 1 species
CGACUCUGGUUUCUCUUCAUUACGCACAAGCCUUUCGCCUUUUACUAAAGACUUCCGUGGAGAGGAACACUUACGAGUUCAACAUAUUUUUGGAAGUGCUUUGCUUCUGGCAGAGCC